rnacentral:lncRNA from 10 species
AAGUCUCAGUGAUGGCAGAUGUCCCUCCCCCGACCAAGCUUGAUUGUCCGAGUUCGACUUCAGACUGCAGUGCUAGCAUCGAGAAUUUCAAUUCAGCCUUUAAGAUACCUUGAUGAAGACCUGGACUAUUGAAUGGAGCAGAAAUUCACCUCUCUCACUGACUAUUACAGUUGCAUUUUUAUGGAGUUCUUCUUCUCCUAGGAUUCCUAAGACUGCUGCUGAAUUUAUAAAAAUUAAGUUUGUGAAUGUGACUACUUAGUGGUGUAUAUGAGACUUUCAAGGGAAUUAAAUAAAUAAAUAAGAAUGUUAUUGAUUUGA